rnacentral:rRNA from 1 species
UACAGAGGGUGCGAGCGUUAAUCGGAAUUACUGGGCGUAAAGCGCGCGUAGGCGGCUUUGCAAGUCGGGUGUGAAAUCCCCAGGCUUAACCUGGGAACUGCAUUCGAGACUGCAUUGCUAGAGUAUGGGAGAGGGAAGUGGAAUUUCCGGUGUAGCGGUGAAAUGCGUAGAUAUCGGAAGGAACAUCAGUGGCGAAAGCGACUUCCUGGCCUGUUCUUGACGCUGAGGCGCGAAAGCUAGGGGAGCAAACGGG